rnacentral:tRNA from 1 species
GCCCGGGUGGCGAAACUGGCAGACGCAAGGGACUUAAAAUCCCUUAUUCCGCAAGGAGUGUGUGGGUUCAAGUCCCACCCCGGGCACCA